rnacentral:rRNA from 1 species
AGCAGCCGCGGUAAUUCCAGCUCCAAUAGCGUAUAUUAAAGUUGUUGCAGUUAAAAAGCUCGUAGUUGAAUUUCGAGACCGGUUUAUUGGUCGUGCUUUUGUACGUACUGGUAUUAUUGGUCUCUCCUUUCUGACGAAUCAUAAUGCCAUUAAUUUGGUGUUUUGGGGAAUCAGGACUGUUACUUUGAAAAAAUUAGAGUGUUUAAAGCAGGCUCACGCUUGAAUACAUUAGCAUGGAAUAACGAAAUAGGACGUUUGAUUUUAUUUUGUUGGUCUCUAGGAUCGACGUAAUGAUUAAUAGGGAUAGUUGGGGGCAUUAGUAUUCAAUUGUCAGAGGUGAAAUUCUUGGAUUUAUUGAAGACUAACUACUGCGAAAGCAUUUGCCAAGGAUGUUUUCAUUAAUCAAGAACGAAAGUUAGGGAUCGAAGACGAUCAGAUACCGUCGUAGUCUUAACCAUUAAAACUAUGACCGACUAGGGAUCGGAUGAUGUUAAUUUUUAUGUACUUCAUUCGGCGCCUU